rnacentral:lncRNA from 1 species
AUGGACUAGUAGUAAAGAAAAGUUCUCUUCCGUAACAAUUAGGGAUGAAAACGGAUCGGAUACGAACGGAUAUCACCGAUAUUAUAUUUGUUUUUAUAUUUCUAUUCGGAUUCGAAUUCGAAUACGGAUAAUAUCAACCAUGUCGGAUAAGAUAUGAUUGGAUGUCGACAUCAUAAAUAUACGAUUUAAAUAUUUGGAAAUGAAUACAAUAUGAUGUUAAAUAUUCAAACUUGGAUACGGACAGAUCUGGUCUCGAAUACGGUCCGAAAAUAUCCGUACCGUUUUCUAUACUAGUAACAACACAUGGACUAGUAGUAAACACUACUUUCCGGUUGCGAUGGAUUUGAAUUGGGGAUGACUUUUAUGAUUGCGGGAGUGAGUAUUCUUACUCUAGGAGUAGCUUUUAUAUGGUUGCAGGGUUGGAUAUCAAAAUGUGGGAGUGAGUAUCGCUGGUGAAAUGAGUUUUUGGCCUUGUUUGGAUCCAUUAGCUGAUACUAGUUAGCUAGCUUAUAUUAAUUGAAAAGUAUAAACAACUAGGAAAAUUCAAUACAUAUCCCACAUUCUAAACUCUAGAACCAGUAGAAAUAUUUUUAGAUCGUGAGAUUAAUAGCUAGCAUUGAAUUUUCUGCUACGUCUGGGAAUCAUCACUCGGACUAAAAAAUAAGCGGAGGCCUGCUACUCAAUGGGCCUUCAUAGCACCUCGAAAUAGGUCCAUGUUCAUUGAAAUCCCUGGAGUAUUUUGCCUAACUUUGAUCGUGAGCCUCCCGACUAACCUGUCCGAAUUUGCUCCAAAAAAAAAAGACUAACCUGUCCGAAAAAAAAAAGUUGAACCAGCUUGAUCCGAUCAGCGUAUCGGAUGGACUCAGGCCAUAAUCUUCCAUCCAUAAUCCGAUUCAAUUCCAAAAGAAAUUAUUGAUCGAGUACAGGAAAAAUAAAUAAAAAUCUAGAAAUAACCGGAGCUGACCAACUUAAUAUAUCCACUGUCACACCCAAUUUCAAGGAAGGAAUUAAAUACAUAAACUUAUAUGUGCCCAGAGAUCAAUCACACAUAUAAAUUACAAAUUAAAUACUAUCAUUACAGUAUUUACAUCAAACGUAGUUAUUACAACACAAAGUUUGGGAGAUCAAUUACACACAUAAAUCACAAAUUAAAUACCGUCAUUGCAGUGUUUACAUCAAACGUAGUUAUUACAACACAAAGUUUGGUACAACAGCGAAAGAUAAUUACGAUAAUCUAAGAUAACUCUCUCUUAGCUCUCACACAGGAAAAGUCAACUGGUGAAGCACAAGCCUAAUAGUCCUUCGGGUAGUCCUCAUAGCUACCACCAUCUGUUACCCAUCCGGGAUUUUUAUCUAAAAAGAAAUAUAAACAAGCGUGAGUACAUCUCGUACGCCACAAGCAUAGCAUGAGGAUUUAUGACGCUCAAACAGGCUAGACUAGGUUUACUACAUCAGCAUUUUAGUAGGUCAGCAUUUUAUCAUUAAUUAUUAUUAGGUUAUGCUUAAGCUUCCAAAUAUCCCAUAUGAUCAGUUAUUAGAACCAUAGAAAGUCAUUAACUCUCAUUAAAACAUAAUUAAACAUCAUCGUGUACCAUAAAACCAUCAUUAGCCAGUUAUUCUGUGAGUUUUCUGGGCCGCUCGUGACCGUGAGCACAACUGUUAUAACAGUUAUACACUCUGCAGAGGUCGUGCACUUUCAGUGUAAGUCGUGUUGCCCAUAUGCCCGAGGUCCGUCGACCCCUAAACACUACCAAGGUGAGCGGGCAGGGUACACGAUGAAGGCCUCCAUAGGCCUAUUCUAACCAGUUAGGGCCGCGAGGUUUCCUCG